ensembl:lncRNA
GCAGAACAUUUUCCCAAUAACCUUUUGAAAAUAGCCCAUUAGAAUGCACGCGAACAGCAGCCCACACCACACACACAAUCGCAUUUGCAACAACGCGUAACUCCACCCUUUCUGACCUAGGAGUUUUGCAGCAAUCGUGACACAACCAAAUCUAAAAAAAACAUCCCCAACAACGAUUCUGUUGAAAUCGUUUCUACAUCUACCACCACAUACUGCUGCCAUCCUUCAUGUGACCAUGAUCCAGUGUUUUCUCACUUUCUGUUGUGGACAUUAAUAACCAGCCCCGAAAGAGGCGCUGCAGCAUGUGCCACAUCUCAUUACUAUCAGAGAUGAAGUCAGUCUGGGCCUCUGCCUGCGCAGCUCCGGCUCUGUAUUUUCCGUUCAACGGGAGGACAUUGAUCCAGCUUUAUCCAGCCUUCGAGUCGGCUCAUGUCUCAGUGCUGCUUGACGUCUAAACCUCCCGUGUGUCGUCCAACAAUGUCCUGACGUCUCAACUAUCCAUCUCUGAUACUGCGAUGUGGGGGAUCAACACAAAAAUCAAUGGCAAAGCAUCUGCAGGCGGGGCGGCUCACAUAUUUAAUAUUCCUGCAGUCGUGGGAAGAAAAGGAGAGAGGCAAAAAGCAACGGCAGAGCGAAUGAGAAGAGAAGCGACGGAAAAGGGAGACGAAAGUUCGCAGUCAAUAAUCACAUGCACCUGGAGGGACUUGAUUGAUUACAAGGAGCGCUGGCACUGAAGCAACUGGCCAGCAGCGUUUCAGAAUGACAGGAACCGCCCCCCCGUAUCAUCACAGCCACUAUUAAAGAACAUGAAGC